rnacentral:rRNA from 1 species
UACGUAGGGUGCAAGCGUUAAUCGGAAUUACUGGGCGUAAAGCGUGCGCAGGCGGUUAUGUAAGACAGUUGUGAAAUCCCCGGGCUCAACCUGGGAACUGCAUCUGUGACUGCAUAGCUAGAGUACGGUAGAGGGGGGAUGGAAUUCCGCGUGUAGCAGUGAAAUGCGUAGAUAUGCGGAGGAACACCGAUGGCGAAGGCAAUCCCCCUGGACCUGUACUGACGCUCAUGCACGAAAGCGUGGGGGAGCAAACAGG